ACUUCUGCAGAGCUGCUGCUGCUGCUGCAAGGGUUAGGGCCUGAUCGCAAGCAAGCAAUCGGCGCACGGAAAUCCAAGAGCAUUGGUAGUUGUGACAACACACUGCGACCCUGGAAGGAAGUGCUGUGGGGGCUUCACCUAUUACAGCAAAAUGGGUAGCUAGCAGUCGCCCAGGGGUGGCGCUCCCACACAGAGGUUGCAAGAUCAAAAAGGCGUUUACUUCAAGUGUGGAAAAGGUCAGCUAGUGAACAGCCUGGUAUAUAAGAACUGGUCAGACACUGUCACCUACUGGAGGAGCCUUUGAAAGGAAAGAGCCUAGAUCUGGGAUUGUUACAGCUGACCUGGAAAAGUUGGUCAGGAGACACGGACGUUUUGGUUCCCAGCCAGUUCUGUUCUGAGAGCAAAAAUGGAGAUGAUGGCCAUUCAGUAUCAACAUGUGGACCCAGAGAAGCAGAAGUCAGGGGAAAAAUUGAUUUGGCCGGAGACUCAAAGCACCAAGUCACCCAUCCAGCGAGAGGAAAGCGUUCUGUAUAAUGAACAGAAGGUGCUGACAACCAGAUCCCAUGUGACCAGUUCUCCUUCCCCUGCCGCCUCCUGUCCAGGCCCCUCCUGCCCAGGCAGCUGGAUUGGGUACCGAGGGAAAUGCUAUUAUUUCUCACAGAUGGAAGGGAAUUGGACCUACAGCCAGAGCCAGUGCUCAGCACUCAAUGCCUCCCUGGCUGUGAUUGACAGCGAGCAUGACCUGGUAAGAAG
rnacentral:lncRNA from 1 species